rnacentral:tRNA from 1 species
GGCCCCUUGGUCAAGUGGUUACGACAUCACACUUUCAAUGUGAAGAGGAUGGGUUCAAUUCCCGCAGGGGUCACCA